rnacentral:rRNA from 1 species
AUGACUAAUUUUGAGUGUGCUCCGGCCGACGGCUCGCGUGGGGGGCUGGUCACCGCCUGGGACCCCAACGCUCUUUCUCUAGUCUCUGUGCACGCCGGGCGGUUCGCCUUAACCACUACCCUCGCCUCCACUUCUUCCGACCUCGCCUUCACCAUCUCCAACAUCUAUGCGCCGUCCGACCACUCCUUCACACAGGAAUUCAUUGACGAAAUGAUCUCCCUCGCACCCCAAAUUCAGGGGGCUUGGCUCUCUCUCGGAGACUUUAACCUCAUUAGAUACCCGGAGGAGAAGAACAACUCCAACUUCUGCGCCUCCCUCGCCUCCCGGUUCAACGCCCUCAUCGCCGCCAUGUCGUGGCUUGAACUGCCCCUCUCCGACCGUCUGUUCACCUGGACGAACCGC